ensembl:lncRNA
CCGCCAAUCUGGGCCAAAUGGCUGGCUUCUGGCUCCCUGUGGUUUCUGGAAGGCAGGAAGCCGCAGACAGCAGACCACGGAGGGCGCCAGCGAGACAGCCUUUCUCUUGGCUUCAUGCCACCGCCAUUCUAGAUUCCUUUUUCCUAUUCUAACUACCUAACAGAUUCAAAGGUCUGGGAUGGAACCUGAGGAUCUGCAUUUCAACGGGCUCUCAGCGGUCACAGCUCAUCCACAGGCACUAGCCCACCUGUCCUUACCUGGCCCUGAAGCCUGACAUUCCAUUUCACAGGAAGCAGACAAAGUACAAUGAAGUCCUACGGAGGGUUCGGAGAUUAAUGAUAACACAUGACUCACGCCACAAAGUUGCACAAGCAGCAUUAAGCCAGAGGAAUGGAGCUCCCACUUCUUCCUACUUUGUCCCUCUAAGACAGAACUGACGAAAGCCCAAAAGGUGGCCCGCUCCCCACAAGCCCCCACUGUGCCUUGGAGUCACAUGAAGCCAGGGAAGGAGGACAUGCCGAGUCAGCACAGAACCUGCCCGGCAAACACAGGCAAUUUCGCUUCCAACUCCCUGCCUCCUCUCUCAGCCCAGCCUCCAGAAUGAGCCUGGCUGGGACCCAGGUUCUUCUGCUUGUAAUUAACCAUUAUCGGCUGGUCGAGUCAAUGAUACAGUGAACUAGAUCAGGCUAGGGCAAGAGACAGGAAGGAACCUUCGCCCCUUGAACAUGAGGGAGCCCACGUAGAAUUUCCCUCUAUGCGCCAAACAUGGCAGACCCUUCUGGGCCUCAGACUUCUCAACAUGGAUGCCCCCAAAGAAGAAUUUUUUGCUUAUUUAUUGAACAUCCAGUCUGCCAAGCAGCUCAUAGGCCCUAUCACCAAUCUUCACAAUAAGCCUGGUGCAGCUUUCACUAUAUUAUCCCUAAUUUAUACAUAAGGCGACAGACACAGAGAGAGGAAGUAGCUUGCGUAUGCUCACACAGCUGGCAACUGAGUCACAAUUUUGACUCAUUUCAUUAUGACUUCAAAGACUGUUGCUUUUCUCAGGAUUCUCUUUCUCAAGAACUCCUAUUUACCCAUCAAACCCAGUGUCACAGUGUUAUUUCCUACGUGAUGCCCUCCCUCAUUCUCUCUGUUCACCUCCCCCAAGCAGGGUGAGCCAUUCUUACUAGAAUUCCGAAUGAAGUUUUGACUUAGUGGCAUUUGACUGGAGGGCCUAGGAGCUCCUGCAUUUUGCUCUGCUAAUUAUCCCUUCUCCUUAAACUACACAUCCAAGGAAUAACAGGAAAAACAAAUGGCACUUGUUAUUAGCUAGGUCAGUGUCUGAUAUCCCCAGGGCAUAACUGCUGUGCACAACCCUAAAUCCAAAAGAUAAGUAAAGCAGUGGCCAACCCCAACGCAGUAGACUCUAGAAUUAUUUGAAAAGAGAAUGAGGCUUAAUAUCUGGCUCCAAUCUUGGUUCCAGAACUUUUAUGAGUUUGAAAACCCAAUCAGAAGAGACAACCAGGGGACGUGUCUCAAAGGCAUGUUGGAAUCAUAAGCCCAGUCUUCAUUUCAGUUUUUGUUUCACGUCGUUUGGAGGGAAAACCCUAACUAAUAGAGCUCCCAUCACAGAAGCUCACCCAGGUUGGCUACCCAGCAAUAGUGCACAAUAGGAGUGCUAAGUUGCUUCAGACUCUUUGCGACCCCGUGGACUAUAGUCCAGCAGGCUCCUCUGUCCAUGGGAUACUGAACGCAAGAAUACUGGAGCGGCACAUUAGGGACAAGACACAAAAGCAAAGUCAAGUCUGGUCCAUUCUACCUGCCCCAAGGCACUGGCCCAGCUUCUCAGCCCAAGGUUCUGGUCUGCUGCUGCUAAAGUGAAUGAGGAAUGUUGCAACAACAUCUGGAGCCGCCCCCAGCGGAAGCCUGCAGAGUGGCAGUGGCAGCGGUGACAGCUCAGAACGCAGGCCUCUCACCGUGUGGACAUCCACGCAUCCACCAGCACACACAGACUAUGUGCACGUGGUCAUGUCUACAUGUCCACACGUACACAUGCACAUGCGUGUGUGUUUGUACACCACACAAGCAUGCCCUGUACGUGUGUGCUUGUGUGUGCAUGUGUGUUCAGAUGUGUGCAUUCACACCUAUGACCCAUACACACAUGGCCAUGCCUGUGUGCACAGAUGCACAUGCUUACAUGUGUGUUCAGACGUGUGCAUUCACACCUAUGACCCAUACACAUAUGGCCAUGCCUACAUGCACAGAUGCACAUGCUCAGAUGCACAGGCCUGGCCACAGACACAAUCACGGCCACAGCACUGGGACUGAGAUAAGGGAUCCUAGUUCUGGGCUGGAGCUUGGGAAGGCCACAGCCCCAGGGAUGCCCCAAGAAUCUGCGCUCUCUGUUCCCCAUUCAAGUCAGCAAAAGCCAAGCCUGUCCUUCAAUCUGGAACUGGAGCCCAGCUUCCCAGCCCCUCCUCUUGGCGACACAGAUUUCCCUGUCCUUGCCCUGCUCCUUCCCUAGACCUGGCCCUGCCCCAGCCUGAUCACAGCUCCCAGUCCCUAUCCUGGAGGCUGAUGUGAACAGCUUCCCC